CUCUAUCAUUAUCUUCUCUAAAAUUAUCUUUUAAAAUAUCUAUAUAAAUUAGUAAAAAAGAAGGAAAAAAUUUCCCAACAAUCUCAAAUGAGAGCUCAGUGAUACAUAAAUAUUUUGGCUUAGAAACCAAUAUCCUCCAAUUCCACUUUUACUUCAACAAUAUUUUGGAUUAGAAAGCAGCAUCCUCCAAUUGUACUUCUACUUCUACUUGUUC
rnacentral:lncRNA from 1 species